GGGGAAGUGGCGGAAUUGGCAGACGCAUCGGACUUAAAAUCCGAAGGCCUUCGGGCCGUCCGGGUUCGAGCCCCGGCUUCCCCACCA
rnacentral:tRNA from 2 species